rnacentral:tRNA from 1 species
GGGCCCGUGGCGCAGUUGGGAGCGCGCGUGAAUCGCCAGGGGUUCGAAUCCCCUCGGGUCCACCA